AGCGUAGACGGCAAGGCAAGUCUGAAGUGAAAGCCCGGUGCUUAACGCCGGGACUGCUUUGGAAACUGUUUAGCUGGAGUGCCGGAGAGGUAAGCGGAAUUCCUAGUGUAGCGGUGAAAUGCGUAGAUAUUAGGAAGAACACCAGUGGCGAAGGCGGCUUACUGGACGGUAACUGACGUUGAGGCUCGAAAGCGUGGGGAGGCAAAACA
rnacentral:rRNA from 1 species